UAAUAAAGAAAGUAAAGAUUUCAUGUUAGCAACAACUUGUCGAAUGACUCUUCAGGCCUAAUUUAUCAGACGAGAAACUGAGUCUUGGAGUAAAGAAGUCAGUCUGCAAAUCAGGAGAAAACAUGUUGAUUUUCUGGUACUUCUCAACCAAAUUAGACUGAUCUUUACCACCAAAUUUAUUAGGGCGUUGAGAAAUGUUCAAUUCUGGCGACUCCAGCAGACACUGCUCUAAUGUCAAAGGCUCUGUCCCUGCAAGUUUUUUCGCCACUGGACUGUUGAAAUAUUUCUGAUCUGGACUAGUGAAGUGUUUCUGAUCUUGCUUUAUUUUCAUUUUUGAUAUCGGAAAAACAGGGGUACUGUUAUUUGAGUCACAGGGAUUAACCUUUUUCGACUCAUCUUGCAAAGUAGUCUGCUUCAUGCAGCAUAAAAAUUGCCCCAUUUCAGUAUAUUCGAGUAGAAUCAAGCUACAAAAUUUUCAUGAUUCUUUAAAAGAGAGGUCUGGUUUGUUUUAUCUGUACUAAUGAUUGAAAGGGAUAUUAUCUGA